CUAAUGGUUCAAGAACUUGCAAAAUGGAUUUUGCUGCUUCUGCAUUAACAAAAAGGGUGAAAUGUGACUUGUUUGUUCCUCAUUCUUCUCCUGAGUGCCAUCAGGAAGCAGCACCCCAAAUGCCUGGCAGAGGGAAGAGAUGCACUGAGGGAGGCCUGGUGCUUGUGUGAAGUGGGAUGUCACUCAGCGCUCAGGGAGCUGUCACACCCUCAAGGCAAAGCUGUCCUCCUUUGCCCUGAGCCACAAUCUUUGAUGCCAGACCCAUACUCUAGGCCAGGAGUGUCUUUACAUUGCCCUAGGGCUGUGAAGCAAAAAGAUUCCGUGGGGUCCCCAGUGGGAGAGAAGCAGCGCUUCCAAUAGCCAAGGGGUCCAUCCUUCUAGCCCUACCCGCUCUGCUGGGCCAUGGGAACAUGGAAACGAUGGCGUCUGGCUUCCCAUGCCAGCACCCAUUCGACUCCCAACUUUUGCACACUUGACCCACAGAAGAGACUCAGGAGAGCUAUGCAGGGAAACUAGAACAAGGCUUUAAUUAAUGAAAUGAACACUACCUAAAGGUUCUGGGAAGAACAUGGGGAGAGGAGAGGGGAAACCUGUGGGCAGCGGCAGGAGUCCCAGGAGCUGUGGGACUGGAGGCCAAAGGGACACAGAUCUCUGUGUA